CCGCCAUUUUACGCCAGCUCCAGCAUACUGUCCGGACACACCGAGGGAGCGGAGAAGGGGGGCAGCUCCUCAGCACGCCGAGCCGCCAGCCGCGCCCCGAGCCCCUUCGCACGGCGUUUCACCCCCGCAGCCGCAGAUAUCUGGAAACAUGGCUACUGAACAUGUGAAUGGGAACGGUACUGAAGAGCCAAUGGACACUUCUGCUGCAGUUACCCAUUCUGAGCACUUCCAGACGUUGCUUGAUGCUGGUUUACCACAGAAAGUUGCUGAAAAACUAGAUGAAAUUUACGUGGCAGGGCUAGUUGCACAUAGUGAUCUAGAUGAAAGAGCUAUUGAAGCUUUAAAGGAAUUUAAUGAAGAAGGUGCAUUGGCAGUGCUUCAGCAGUUUAAAGACAGCGAUCUCUCGCAUGUUCAGAACAAAAGUGCCUUUUUAUGUGGAGUCAUGAAGACAUACAGGCAGAGGGAAAAACAGGGGACCAAGGUGGCAGAUUCUAGCAAAGGACCAGAUGAGGCAAAAAUUAAGGCACUCUUGGAAAGAACUGGCUACACUCUUGAUGUGACUACAGGACAGAGAAAGUAUGGUGGGCCUCCUCCAGAGUCCGUAUAUUCAGGACAGCAGCCUUCUGUUGGAACAGAGAUAUUUGUGGGUAAGAUUCCAAGAGACUUGUUUGAAGAUGAGCUCGUUCCAUUAUUUGAGAAAGCCGGACCUAUAUGGGAUCUCCGCUUAAUGAUGGAUCCAUUAACUGGUCUAAAUAGAGGAUAUGCUUUUGUCACAUUUUGUACUAAAGAAGCAGCGCAGGAGGCUGUGAAGCUGUACAACAAUCAUGAAAUCCGUUCAGGAAAACACAUUGGUGUAUGCAUCUCUGUUGCCAAUAAUAGACUUUUUGUUGGUUCUAUUCCUAAGAGUAAAACCAAGGAGCAAAUUGUUGAAGAAUUCAGCAAAGUAACAGAGGGCCUUACAGAUGUCAUAUUGUAUCAUCAGCCUGAUGACAAGAAAAAGAACCGGGGUUUCUGUUUCCUUGAAUAUGAAGAUCACAAAACUGCUGCUCAGGCCAGACGUAGGUUAAUGAGUGGCAAAGUGAAAGUCUGGGGAAAUGUUGUUACAGUUGAAUGGGCUGACCCUAUAGAAGACCCAGAUCCCGAAGUCAUGGCAAAGGUAAAAGUUCUGUUUGUCCGCAAUCUUGCCAAUACUGUAACAGAGGAGAUACUAGAAAAGGCCUUCAGUCAAUUUGGAAAGCUAGAGCGAGUGAAGAAGCUAAAAGACUACGCUUUCAUUCAUUUUGAUGAACGGGAUGGUGCUGUAAAGGCAAUGGAAGAAAUGAAUGGCAAAGAUUUAGAGGGAGAAAACAUUGAAAUUGUUUUUGCUAAGCCACCAGAUCAAAAAAGGAAAGAACGGAAAGCUCAGAGACAAGCGGCUAAAAAUCAGAUGUAUGACGAUUACUACUAUUACGGCCCACCUCAUAUGCCCCCUCCAACAAGAGGUCGAGGCCGAGGAGGCAGAGGUGGUUACGGAUAUCCCCCUGACUAUUACGGAUAUGAAGAUUAUUACGAUUAUUAUGGCUAUGACUACCAUAACUAUCGUGGUGGAUAUGAAGAUCCUUACUAUGGUUAUGAAGAUUUUCAAGUUGGAGCUAGAGGAAGGGGUGGUAGAGGAGCAAGGGGUGCUGCUCCAUCCAGAGGUCGCGGGGCUGCUCCUCCCCGUGGCAGAGCCGGUUAUGCACAGAGAGGUGGUCCUGGAUCAGCAAGAGGCGUUCGUGGUGCGAGAGGAGGUGCCCAGCAACAAAGAGGCCGCGGGGUACGUGGUGCGAGGGGUGGCCGCGGUGGAAAUGUAGGAGGAAAGCGCAAAGCUGAUGGGUACAACCAGCCAGAUUCCAAGCGGCGCCAGACCAAUAAUCAGAACUGGGGCUCCCAACCCAUUGCUCAGCAACCGCUCCAAGCAGGGAAAAGGGGUCGAGGCCGGUCCUGACCUGUUACAAUGAAGACUGACUUGCUAUGUGGGAUUACACCAGAAGCUUGCAGUGGAGUAAUGUCAUUUAGGUAAAGCCAGCUGUGUCAGAAAUCUGGAUUCCUUCUACUCUGAGACUGAUGAAUGUGUCUGAUGAAUGGAGGUACUUUGCUAUCUCCAUUCGUGCGGUUAGUAUGGCAAAGAACACCUCUUCGCUUGGUUUGGCCACUGAUGUGGAAGAAAAGGCUCUGAAUCUUAUUACUUUUCCUUGCGCUAAGGAAGCUAUGAAGUGCAUUCAUGGUAUUGCUACCUACCCAGUAGGAUAGCGUAAGAUGUUCAUCUGCAGAGAUGAUAAUGGUAAGUAAAUAUAGACAUUCCACUACUUAAAUUAAUUUCAGUACCUAAAACGCAGCUUCUGUAGGCAAAUUGACUCCUUAUCUGCAGGGAUUAGGUAGGUUAUGUGAUUUUUGCUUUGGAAAUUUUUGUGUCUACUUCAGUAGUAACUGAAUAUUGAGUGUAAGCUGAUACCGUUUAAAUACUUUCAACCAAAAAAUCACCAAAAAUGCUUCCUGUAGAUCAAGUAUCUAUUUUUUUUAAGCGUAGCAAUCUUAGCAGUUUGAAGGGAUAGUUCCAUGAACGCAUGGCACUGAAAGAGCCAGGAACCAAGUACACCAGGUACUGAGUUGCUGGGUCCAAGUGUACCGUUCCCAGUGUUGUUCAUUUUUUCAGAUUUCUCUUCUUUAGAGAGAUGAAGAAUGCACCUGUGACCAGCAUUGGAUAUUUAAAAACUCUUUUUAAAAUCUAGCUAAUUUGGGAGAAGAAAUCUUCCUCUGAGAGUUCAGCAAAGGCAGCCUAACUUCAUAGAUUCCUCAUUAGUAGUAGUUUCACCAGAAGCAUAUAUGUAAAGUUGACUUCAGGACAGUUUCACUAGACUAAUUUCAUUCGCAUUAACAUACUUCUUUGAAAGUGUAGGUGGUUUAUGCUUGCUUUUGAAUUAAGAUCUGCUCUGAAGAAAACCACAGCAAGGUACUUCUCUAAAAAGCUGUCAGAAUCUGCAAGAAGUAUGUUGCAGAUUUCAUGCUAACAUAAGGCUUGAAUGAAUAUAAAGGGAAAAAAACUGUCAUAACUUGUCUCGCUGUAAGCCUUAGAUGGAUAUAAGCUUUGACAGUGAAUACAAUGGAAGCUGGUUUCAGAGUCCUAAUAGAAAUUCUCUGUGAGAAUGAUCCUUCAGUUAAAAUUAGGAAGGGUCUGGAAGGUCUUAAAUCUGUUGGAUUUAAAGUAUUCUGUGUAUGGAGUUGUAACUUGGUUUUGCUUAUUGUUGUGAUCUUACAAUGGGAAUGGUGUAAUAAAAGGUACUUAACAGUUGUUAAUGGCUUCCUAAUCUGAGAAAUACUGAGUUAGGUUUAUUGAUGUUCUGAGCCAUUUAGAUUGUCAUAUUUCUGUACGAACAAAUACUUUGUGUGGUCUUAGCUGAUCAGUAAGCCUCAGACUCAGUAGUUUCUGCUUUCUGAGGUACUCGGUCUUUUCUAAGGUUGAAAUUAGUAGGGAUUUUUAAUGGGAAGUACUGAGGCUUGGUUUUUUUUAGUAAUACCAAUAGCUACACUUUUACAGUUUAUUACCCUCCAUAUAACAUCUUGAAGAGUACUACUUUCAGUGAAUAAUAAAACAGGAGUAUGCAGAUGAAUUGUGAAGAAGCAUUGCUGGUGUUAAGCAUUUCAGAAGUGAAGCCUCCCAGUUUGUAAAUACACUCUGAGGUGCACUGAGUUGUACACGCCACUCGGGUACAAAUUGCAGUGAAGUGAAUCAGUGAGCGGUCACAUCUCAGCAAGGCUAGUGCAGAUUGCCCUCAAUGAUGGCUUAGGCUAAUAGUUCUGAUUUGGUACGGAGUUACACUGAAGUGCUUAUGGCUUAUGUAGUUUUUUGUGCAGUUAGUCAAGUACAGCUGCAGGUCGAUGAUCACCCACUCUUGUAGUCUUGCCCCUUUCAGACACCCUCCCCUCCCCCCCCCCUCCUUGAAGUGGUGAUUGGCAACAAGGGAGGCUCCCCUCAGAGGGAUACCAAGGAGUGUAUUUGUUUGGAAUUUAGAGGGUUGACAUAGGAGUGGUAGAAUCACAUAAAUUCAUUCCUUCAGAAAGCUCUCGAUAAACCAUUCUUGUCUGCUCCAUUUGUGGGCACAAGAAUAUAAUUAUAUGUGCCUUAACUAAGCUACUAGAAAGUAUGUAGUCUAGGGUUAAAGGCAAAAUAGCCAAGUAAAUAACCUGGCAAACCACAAAGUAAAAGAACUUCAUUUGGCUGUGUUACAGCUUUGUGGAAUCUUUCUUGCUAUUAAUCAGUCUGUCCUUUUCCUGUGAAAGGUAGAUAUACUCUAAACCAGGCAUCAUCUAGCAGCUACAGCGAGAUGUGAAGGGAAUGUCAGGUGGUGGAUCUUGCCCAGGUUCAGACAUCAGUUCAAGAGCAGACGCAGGUUCCCUGGACUUCGUGUGGAAAGGUAAGGAGAUUCUGUUCUGGCUAGUGUGGCCGUCAGGGCCUCUUCAUUUUGGUAGAAGUUUCAGAAGAAUGGAAAGUAGAGAGCAGGAAUGCACUGAAAAGAGCUAGGGAAGUCUGGAGUAUCUCUGUCAGAAAAGAUGUUUCAAGUGUAGCAAAAGAAAAACAAAAUGAAGAAAUACUGUGCAUAACACUAUUUCAAAUGCCCUGCUCUGAGAGGUGAGUGAUAGCCUGCAGCUGAUAAUUGCAAACCUGCUGUUUUGAGGUGAUGGUCUACUAGCCACGGUGACAGAAAAGCAAAAGGCAGUCCUGCAUAUUUGAUGUACCUGUUCCAGUGCUUGACUUGUUCUUCAGUACAGAUGAGGAGUUAAUCCAUUUCUUUUUACUGUUAUUGAGUGGAUAUGCUGCUCACUGCUCUUAAUAAUCCCUUAAAAGGUAAGUAAAAGUGGAGAAAUAUGAACUUAAUAGGGCUUCAUGAAGCCUCCGCAAUGAGUGAUGUUUAGGGAACAUCGUACUCAUAGUAAAGCCUGCAUGUGGAAUCUUGAUUUGCACUCCUUAACCCAGGGCGUACAGUGACAGAAUGGGUGUUCCUCUUGGGAAGCUGGAGUGACCCAAAGCCCACUCAGCAGCCCCUUUAGAGAUCUCAAUUUGAGGAUAAGAAUACCAAAUACAACACCAGGUUCUUGCAUAGGUUUGCAUUUUUUUUUUUUUUCUGGAGAGGUCCAGUGCAAGCCCAGCAGCCUGUGGGAGAGAAGUGACAGAGGGACUUGGGACUAGGUGGGGAUGCUGUUAAACAUUAGGCAGCGUAGGUAGCCCGGGUAUGUGUAUUCCGCACUAGAGAUGAUCUGUAUGUGCUCAAAAACGAAGAGAUUUGCGGUGAUCAGUAUGAGCUUGAAAGCAGGUGUCUGCAGUAUUGCCGGCAAGGUUGCUAGACUUCAGUCUGAAGAUGUUCAUUUUUAAGUUACAGCAGAGUUUACAUUUUUUUUGAUACCAGAAAAUAAACUGCCAGAUGCCAAAGCCUGUACCAGGUGAUAAAGCAGUUGGAAAUGGCAAAUAUAUUCUGUCUUAUCUUAUUCCAAGCUUCAUUUUGUCAGAAUUCUCUCUCCUUACUGAGAUGAAAGAGGAUCAAGAAUAGAUGAGGCUCUGUGUAUCCUGAGUGCUCAUGGACAACACACAGAAGCAUCUGUUUCUUAGGCAGCCUUCAGUGGGGAAAAGUUGUCACUUUUUCUGCAGGUGAGUAGCCCCUUUUGAAGACUCAGUGGGAGAUGGGAACGUUCCUGUCUAUAGAAGGAAUGGGAAACAAAGCAUCCAGUGGAGACUGGUGUGUGUGUUGUAAGUUCUUGGUGACACGCAGGUAAGCAGCUUUGAACUAAAACACCUUGUGCUAUGUGCAAAAAUGUCUUCUUGUGACCAGAACUGCUCCUCCAGAUAAUCUGUGACCUUGUUCCCUUCUUUGUGCUGGCUUUUUCCUGUGGGCAUCAGGGAAGGAGAGGGGAGAGUCAGGCCUGUACAGCUAGCUUGACUUUUCCAGACCCUAAUGACCAUCUAACAGUAAAAAAAGAAGGAAGCAGAGUUGUGCAUUGGUGCCUGCCGCUGUGGUCCAGCAGAAUCCUCAGACAGGCAGAUUUUUCAGAAUUAAGACCAAGUGGUAUGCCAAGUUUCCUGAACAUAACACAUCCCAGAAAUACGCUGGGUGUAGACUAUACACCACAGCGUUGUGAUAGGUUGGAACUCACUUACAGUUUUACCAUAUCUGAAGUGGUGGUUAAUGAUGAUCAGUGGAGUUUACUACUGUGCCUAAGCAAAUAGUGCUCUGAAGUGUCCAAUACAGGCUCCUAGGAAUCUGUAUGAUAUUAAAACAUCCUUUCCCCAUUUUGACACUUUUCAUUUUGAAGCAAAAUCUACUUUCUCAAGAAAAAAGUUGUUCCUUCCCUCUUACAUCUGAAACACACUGAACCUAACUUCAGGUUUAUCUGAGGCCUACCACUUCUAUGCAGUGUUAAGAGCUAUCUUAAAUGCAUCUGUUGAAAUUUCAAAUCUCAAUCAUUAUAAUGCUCAAAGGGGAAGAAAAAUACCACAAACAAGGUGUACGGAGUACUUCAAACUCUGGAGAUAAGAGUAAAUACUCACAGCUCCUUAAGGGGAAGGAAAUACAAUCCCUUGCAGCUUGAUAAGAAAGAUGGUAAGAUGAUUUUCAUAUUAACAUGCCCAUUUAGUAGUAUAUCCUUAGAAAUAUUUGUUUAUCUGUGAAAGAGGAAGCUUCAUGCCUACCUUGCAUUUAAAGCUCUUUCUAUUUUACUUCAAUGUAAUAACGCAGAUAAGCCAUGUAGCUUAUGUAGUAGCAAAUCAUUCAGUCACAAAUCAGCAACUGAUGUAGAAAGUUUCAGAACACUACUGAAUGAUGGUAUUCCCUCAUACAAUCUCAGUUCCUGUUAGCUCCAGUGCCUUUCCCAGCUAGAACACUAGUUACCUAAAAUAAAAAGCAAAACUUUCAAUAGUGCAGAAAUCUGAUACUUAAACUAGCAAAUAGAGCAGGCUGUGUUCUGUAUGAAAUGUUCAGUUGGUCUGAAUUGAUUUAUUCUGAUGAAAUUAUGAACUUUUAAGAAACACUAUUCUGACUCCUUCAACUACUCAUAAGUUCAACCACAUAAAACCUUUAGCUAGCUCUUUCCAGUAGUUCUCGUGUAUUGAUUUCAUAACUUGUCCUGCUUUCGUACAGCUCAGAGUUCUCUUAUCUGCUAAGUAUGCAUUCUCCUUCCCCAAAGGAACACUUUAGGGAAAACCACUGUGGAGGUGGUGAGCAUACACUGUAACCAGGAACUGCGUUGCAGAUCAUCUGGGAGGAGUCGCAAGUAACUGUUCUCCGUGGCUCAGAAGAGAGACCUACCAAGCCUCUACCUACUCCAGCACUACAAAACAAGAGAUAAUAGAUCUGGAAAUGACAAAGAGAGCAACAAAGAUGUUCAAAAGUACUAAGGUGCUUUCAUGAAGAAAAAUUAAUGAUGUAAGUUAAAAAUGCCAGAAAAUCAAUUCAUUUUCUGAAGGAUGGCUUAAGAGAUUAAUUUUAUACAAUGAUAAGCAGCAAUUGCACUAAGAAAGAAAUUAUUUUUUCACCAUCUCUGUAUAAAAUACUAAAUGAAAGUUCUUAAGGCAUUCAUAUGCAUCUUCACUCUCACAAGCAAAAUUAAGUGGUGGAACGCCUUGCUGUGUGACUUUUGUGGAUGUUUAUGCUCUUGGUAGUUCAAAAACCAACUGGAAACUUAGGAAAAAAAUUCCCUUUCAGGAUAUGCCCAAGACUCAAAUCAGAGUCAAAUAAUGUUCUGGGAAAGUAUUAUAUUCUUUCUAUGCUUUUAUAACUCUUUCCUAGCUAUCCCCUAUUCGCCAUCAUGACAAGCAGGAUGCUCACCUGGAUGAACGUUUGCUGAUCCAACACAGCCGUUUUACAUAUCCAUCACGUAUCUGCUUUGAAAAACUUGCACUGCACAUUGAAUCCUACAGGUCUCAUCUUACUUAUGAGAGGCUCAGGUGCUGCGACACUUUGCAGUGUUUACCAGAAAUGCACAUCAUCUUAUGAGUACUUUCUUGACACUUUUUAAUUCAGCUAAAUUGAGGGAAUGUGGCUUAGAUUCCUCCUCAAAUAGGAGAAUUUCUCCCAUUAACCACCAAGCUAUCAGUGGAAACAACCUCAGGAUGUGACAUAGCUAUUUUCACUAAGUAUCUUUCCAGGACAAGAUUUCCUUUAUCCCACAUUGUAAACAGAUUAAUUUCAUUUAGAUUGAGCUCUUAAGCAUGUACUAUGACGUUCUUUUAACUAUUUGCAUUAGUACAGCUCUUCUUUCACAAUUUUUUUCUUGCAAAUUCUCAAAUCCAGUCACCAUGAAAAAUGGAAAAGUUCCUUUGUUGAGGCCAGGUUCUUGGAAGGAAUUAUGGUUUCAGAUAAGUACCUUCCCAGAUGUUCUCCCCACGUACCAGCCAACUCAAAUAUGUCACUCAAUAUUAGGUUAAAUUCCAGAUCUAAAAAUCUUCUCUAAAUCUUCUCUCUUGCUCUUGCACUACAAAAACUGGAUUAUACCUUUGCCAAACAUUUACCACAGACCUAAUGUUAAUUUCUAAAAGCAUUUAUCCUCUAUAGGUCUAAUGCCUCUCUUUACACUUAUCUUUUUUUUUUCCUAUUUCUUUUUAUUUAUUGUGACUUGUAAAUGGUUGCCUACUGCAGCCACCUUGCAACUUUCCACUCUGUAUCCUUGUUUUAAUGUCCCAUAAGCUACCAUUUGUCAGAGGACAAAUUACUUUCAACUCUGAUAUCCUAAUUCUCUGUUAUUUAAAAGACUAAUUGUGCAGACCAAUGAUCUUCUGAGAGAGAUGUCACCUGUCUUACUUAGCAAUUUUUUUCUUGCUUUCUGCCAUUUUGUUCUCCCAAAGCAGCUCUCCUUCCCUGUUCUUCUAAAAGACAACUCGUGUGGGAUUUUAUCCAGUAAUCUAAAGCCUCUGUUGCAGUGUCCAGAGGUUACCUGGGGCCCUAGGUUAUCCCUAUCCAAUUUAAUCUUGUAAUAUUGUGGAGCAACUCACAGUUGGAGAAUGUGGUGGUCCAGGAAGCAAAGGUAAGAGCCCAGACUGAUAGCUGGCAGCACACGUUCACACAACCGCUGAGUGCAGGUCUGUAUAGACGAUGCAGGGAGCUGACCCUCAAAGGCUGUAAAUCUGAUUAUUAGCAGAUUAUUAACUUAGUAACAGACAAAUGCACAUGACUACAUUUGUAACAGUAGAACUAGUUUUGUUUACCUAAAUGAUACUAAUUUUCUGAAUUCAUGAGCUGAAAUGGUAGCUGUUGGUGGACACCCUUAAGUUUUAAUCUGCAAAGUUGAAUUGCCUACUAAUGCUUUAUUUUCUUGGGAUCUGAGUCUGUGUUCACUUACCUUACCUAUUUGCUGAAUAUUUUCUUGAGAAAGCUUUCUGCUGGACAGAUGAAGUUAAAAAUUAAAUGUGAAUCCUUCAAUUUCAACUUCUGGAAAGGACCCACAGAAACUAUCAGGGACUUGUGGGGACUGAUUUUUAAAGGAAAACUAAUUCCUGACCAGUUAGAUAUGAAGGAUUGUAUGAUGCAAUUUAGCCUCAACAGCCUUAUCCUUGAGAAAAAUAAGUACAUUUGAAAAGGAGACAUAGACUGAAGACAACAACAACAAACUGUAGGGUAAAAUUGGUCCUGUUUGCAGAGUAAAUUAAAUGCAGUCUGCCUGUGUGAAUCUAUAGGAUAGUGUGCUGCCUGAAGAAACAAAUAAGAUUAAAACACAAAAACAACAAAAAACCAACCUCAUUUUGUUAAAUAGAAUUUCAGUCUUCUGACUAACAUUUUUCUGCCAACAACCAUUGUUUUGUAUUGUAAGUUGUGGUGAAAAUCUCGGCAAAUGUAUUCUUUUAAGCUAGAAUAUGCAAUCUUUGGUUGCUGUUUCUAAAAUAAUAGAUUAAAAAUGGAGUACUGACUCCAUAGUAAGA